UGAACGCUGGCGGCGUGCCUAAUACAUGCAAGUCGAGCGAACGGACGAGAAGCUUGCUUCUCUGAUGUUAGCGGCGGACGGGUGAGUAACACGUGGAUAACCUACCUAUAAGACUGGGAUAACUUCGGGAAACCGGAGCUAAUACCGGAUAAUAUUUUGAACCGCACGGUUCAAAAGUGAAAGACGGUCUUGCUGUCACUUAUAGAUGGAUCCGCGCUGCAUUAGCUAGUUGGUAAGGUAACGGCUUACCAAGGCAACGAUGCAUAGCCGACCUGAGAGGGUGAUCGGCCACACUGGAACUGAGACACGGUCCAGACUCCUACGGGAGGCAGCAGUAGGGAAUCUUCCGCAAUGGGCGAAAGCCUGACGGAGCAACGCCGCGUGAGUGAUGAAGGUCUUCGGAUCGUAAAACUCUGUUAUUAGGGAAGAACAUAUGUGUAAGUAACUGUGCACAUCUUGACGGUACCUAAUCAGAAAGCCACGGCUAGCUAAGUG
rnacentral:rRNA from 1 species